UACAGGGGGGGCAAGCGUUGUUCGGAUUUAUUGGGCGUAAAGAGCGUGUAGGCGGCCAGGUAGGUCUGGUGUGAAAACUCGAGGCUCAACCUCGAGAGGUCAUCGGAAACCAUUUGGCUAGAGUCCGGAAGAGGAGAGUGGAAUUCCCGGUGUAGCGGUGAAAUGCGCAGAUAUCGGGAAGAACACCUAUGGCGAAGGCAGCUCUCUGGGACGGUACUGACGCUGAGACGCGAAAGCGUGGGGAGCGAACAGG
rnacentral:rRNA from 1 species